UAAUUAUUCAAUCGAAUCCAAAUCCAUUAAAGUUUAAAGUACAAAAAAUUACUUUCAAUGUAUACGACGAGAUCGCUCGAGAAGCUUUCCAUAUUAGCCGACGUGACAUGAUAUGGACCCCUCUCUAUCAGCGAGAUCGAGUUUAACUUUCGGAGAAACACUGUGCGUGGUGUUCAUUCCGCUGAUCGGAAUCGCUGAAGCCUUGUUUUAUGGCUUAACAAGUUGCUUCAGUUUCCGAAGCUUAGAGCAGAAGAAGAAGAAAGAGAAGAAGUUUUCUUCUACGUUUGAGGAUAUUCUCGCACUCGCUAAUGAUUCUCCUUUUAAUGUGAAUGAAGUAGAGGCUUUGCAUGAGUUGUACAAGAAGUUGAGUUGUUCAAUCAUUGAUGAUGGUCUUAUACACAAAGAAGAGCUUACGUUGGCAUUAAUGAAGACCGCGGUUGGCAAGAAUCUUUUCCUUGAUAGGGUGUUUGAUCUCUUUGAUGAAAAAAAGAAUGGUGUUAUAGAAUUUGAGGAGUUUGUGCAUGCUCUCAGUGUCUUUCAUCCUAAUACUCCUUUGGAAAAGAAAAUUGAUUUUGCUUUUAGAUUGUAUGACUUGAGACAGACCGGAUACAUUGAACGAGAAGAAGUCCGACAAAUGGUGGUUGCCAUUUUAUCAGAAUGUGGCAUGGAUGUGGAAAAUGAAAUACUUGAAGCCAUUAUUGAUAAGACAUUUCAAGAUGCUGAUGCUGACAAGGAUGAUAAGAUCAGUAAAGAGGAGUGGAGGGAGUUUGUCAUUCGGAACCCCUCACUCUUAAGGCACCUGACUCUUCCUAAUCUGAAGGAGAUAACCACAGUAUUUACCAGUUUCAUUUUCAACACUGGAGUUGAAGAUUCCCACUGGUAACUCAACGGCUAGUCAAAAAUUGACAUCAAGGAGUGGAGCUUGUUCUGGUUUGGUGCAUCCGCUGUUGCUCUCUUGAGAAUUAGAUCCUGGCGGUUCCAUUCUUCCACUGAUUUCAAGUUCAACUGGGAUUUUUUUUUAAAGUGGGCAAAUACACCAACUCUUGAUUGAGUAAAAAGGUUUAUUGGCAAAGACAUGAGGCCAGAGAUAAAUUCCUGAAAAUGUUUUUUCAGAAGUUCCAUUUCUUCUCCUGGAUCCAAACUAAUCAAUGCCUUGACUAGUACAUGAAAUGCAAUCUAGAGACAAAAGAAAGUGAUUAAUUGUUAAUGUUAGUAUCUUGGAAAUAGUGAAUUUUAUGAGUGCAAACUUUGAAGAUAGGUUCUGACACCAACACAUGAGGGAGAAAGAAACAGACAAAGAUAGGCACAAACUCACAAACAAACACUCACAAACUCCUAUAGAGACAGAGAGGUAACCUUUUUUGUUUCAUCUUGUAUGUAAAUAGGUUGGUCCUCUUUCCAAUUUGCCAUUGAUUCUUGUACAUAUUUCUCCAUAUCUGUGGUAAUCUGAAUCUUUAACUGUUGAGACUUAAAGAAAGCUCCAAUAAGUCCAUGUAUUCUCCUUUGUAAGGUUCCAUUGAUGAGCAAAAUAGAAGAUUCUCCCAUCAACUCCAUCAA